rnacentral:rRNA from 1 species
AUUGAACGCUGGCGGCAUGCCUUACACAUGCAAGUCGAACGGUAACGGGCCUUCGGGUGCCGACGAGUGGCGAACGGGUGAGUAAUGUAUCGGAACGUACCUUUCAGUGGGGGAUAACGUAGCGAAAGUUACGCUAAUACCGCAUAUUCUGUGAGCAGGAAAGCAGGGGAUCGCAAGACCUUGCGCUGAUUGAGCGGCCGAUAUCAGAUUAGCUAGUUGGUGAGGUAAAAGCUCACCAAGGCGACGAUCUGUAGCGGGUCUGAGAGGAUGAUCAGCCACACUGGAACUGAGACACGGUCCAGACUCCUACGGGAGACAGCAGUGGGGAAUUUUGGACAAUGGGGGCAACCCUGAUCCAGCCAUGCCGCGUGAGUGAAGAAGGCCUUCGGGUUGUAAAGCUCUUUCGGCCGGGAAGAAAUCGUAUCAGCUAAUACCUGGUGCGGAUGACGGUACCGGCAUAAGAAGCACCGGCUAACUACGUGCCAGCAGCCGCCGUAACAC